GGUAGUUGGUUCCGGGCGAAGGGGGCCGUGUCGUUGCUAUGCCAUCGUGCUGCGCGCUGAGGGCCGGUUCUGGUAUGUCCGCGCCAGGCUCGGGCUAUGGGGCGUGCGGGCGGAGCCGGACUCGGCGGGGACCGGCCGGGGUCAGCAGUGGACGGGACUGCAGACAUGUUUAUAUUUUGAGACUGGUGAUGAAAGAAUAUUGAUUAUUGCAUCGGAGCCAAGGUGAUUCCUGUACCACUCACUGUUGUGCUACUGAAGACAUUAAAGAGUCCUUUAUUGUACAAGUGCAGGAACAACAGAUCGAAUUACUAGAAAUCCCAGAGCACUCUGAUAUCACGCAAGUUUACCUUCAUGCAAGCUGCCUGGUCAGCACUACACAGAGAAGCCUGACUUCAAGCAAGGCUGAGGCUUUCCUCAGUCUGGCUCAGCGAAAGCUCCUGUGAGGAAAUGGGAACAAAAAUACAUAACUUCGUAAAGGAGCUAGAUGCCAUGAAUAAAACCAGACUUGCUUUGCACAGCGAGACAUAGACUUCAUUCAAGAAGCAGUGAGACCUAUUCAGUGGAUGUCCAGUUUGCUGCAACUGUUUGAACUCAUCCCCACCUGCACCAGAUGUUCUGGUGUACCAGCUCUGAGGCCUGGUCUACACUACAGAGUUUGUUUGUUUGCAAGGCAGCUUAUGUCGACCUAAUUCUGUAAGCGUCUACACUAAAAUGUUGCUCCUGCCGAUGUAACUUGCCCUCUCCAUCGACUUAGUAACUCCACCUGCACGAGAGACAUAGUGCUUAGGUCAACAUAGUUUGGUUGACCCAAUCAGUGACACUGCGUUACUUAUGUCUACUUUAGUGGCUUCCAGGAGGUGUCACACGAUGCCCUAUCAUAACUGCUCUGGUCACCUUUUAGAACUCUGCUGCCUGGCAGUCAGGUAUGCAUGUACAUGGCCCUCCCCCUUUAAAGCCCUGCCAAUUUUAAAUUUUAUUUCAUGUUUGGUUGGUAUGGAGAGCUCACAUAGCAACUGCCCAGCUGACCAUGCUGGCUCCACGCAGCAAAGGUGCUCUUGCCAGGAGUACACAGCAGGUGGUGGAUCUCCUUGGUCUGUGGGGAGAAGAGGCUGUGCAGGUGCAGGCACAGCUCUGAUCCAUCCGUAGAAACAUUGACAUCCAUGGCCAGAUCGCUUGGGGCAUGGUGGAGAAGGGCUACAACAGGCACAUGCAGCAGUGCCAUGUAAAAAUCAAGGAGUUGCUGCAGGUGUACCAGAAGGCAAGGGAGGCAAACUGUCACUAUGGUGUGGAACUACAGACAGGCUCCUUCUACAAGGAGCUGCAAGCCUUCCUUGGAAGAGACACCACCACCACAAGCCCUGUGGAUACUUUGGGGAGCUGGAAUCAGUGGCCCCUGCAGUACAUACUGAGGAGGAGGUGAUGGACUUGGAGGAGGAGGAGGAGUUUUGGAGGACAGGUGGCUGGGGGAAUGCAGUGGUGCAGUGAGCCAGGACCUCUUUCUGACUGCCAGAGCAGUCGAGUGAGUCCCUACUGUCCAGCACCGGUGAGCCUGAUGCAGAGGAUGGAAAUCUGGUAAGUAUGCUGUUUGUUUUGAUGUUGCAGGGACAUCUGUUCAUUUACUCUUUUUUUUAAUCAUAUAAGAAGAGAUAGCAACUCUGCCUCUACUGGUUAUUUCACUGUCUGCCUCUCGUUCCCCUAUACAGCUGGGCAGAGGGGGCCCUGUGGAACAAUUUGUUUUUGUGCAUCAGGAUGUCCCGGGAAUCUUCCAUAGAGAUCUCAAGAGAACUUUCCUGGGGAAGUCUGCAGUCCUCUGCUGAAGCUUUCUAGGGAGGAUUGCUUUAUUUCUUCCACUGCAGUAGGACACUUUCUCACACCCGUGAGCAAUUACAUCAGCAGGCACCAAUGCAGCACACAGGCUAGCAGCAUACGGAUCCAAUUUCCAGCCGGACUCGUUCAGGAGCUGUUCUGUUUCAGCCUCAGUUACCCUUGGAACAGGAAAUGUGGCCCUGAGGGUCUCUUCAUCCACACCACUGGAGUGUCUCAGAUGAUGAGAAGAAAGGAGAUGAGGGACAACAUGUUCCAUGAGAUCCUGCAAGCCUCUGGUGUUGCACAUACCGAGCAGAGGGCUUGGAGGAGCACUCUUGUGGACAGAAUGGAAAGGGAUAGUGCAGAGAGGAGAAACACAGGAAAAGGACCGACACACGCAGUAGGUCAUGAUAGCACUUCUCAAGCACCAGAUGGACAUGCUGGAGAUUCUUAUAGACCUUCGGGUCCAAGUAAUCCUUCCUUGUCUCCUGCUGCAGUCUAUCGAUAACUGCAUUCUGGGACCUCCCUAUGCUCCCUGCCCCCUACAUUCCACAUAUAUUUUGGGGCCACCCCGGGGGGAGAGUACACACAAUCAGAGCUGCAGGUACACUGACCUAUGUGAGACGGUGUAUUUGUGUUUUGAAAUGAGAAUGACUGUUCUUUCCCCUUCAAAGGUUCUUUUCCCUGUAUUUAUAUAGUUUCAUUCAGUUACAGUUAUUUUUGUUUGCACGAGUUUGGAAUAGAAGUCUAUUUAUGGAAACUUAAUUCAUCUUUAAUAGUUCACAACAUGUGGUAGCUGGGGCUGACAUUAUUCAAAAGUAGUAGCAAUAGGUACACUUGCAAUGUGUUAUUACCACACACAGCAGAAGCUUUCUCUUUUUGCUUCACAGAUAUUAUGAGGCUUGCAGCAGGCAGCUAUAAUUCUGGGGAUAUUUUUUUCAUGAAUGUCCAAUCCCGUGAGUAGACAGCGACAGCGCCAAUUGAAAUAGUCAAAGACACCUUCAGCAGUCCUCCUGCAUCUGCUGAGCCUGUAGUUGAAGUGCUCCUUGCUGCUGUCAGGGUGGCUGGUGUGAGGUUUCAUGAAUGAUGGGAGAUACGGGUAGGCUGGGUCUCCAAGGAUCACUAUUGGCAUUUCCAUAUCCCCAAUGGUAAUCCACCGGUCUAGAAAGGAAGUCCCUGCUUGUAUCUUUCUGAACAGCUUUCUGUGUUUUUAAAGAUGUGUGUGUCAUGCACCUUCCCUGAUCAGCCCACAUUGAUGUCAUUAAAUAUCCCUGAUGAUCCACCAGUGCUUGCAAUACCAUAGAAAAGUAGCCCUUUCUGUUGAUGUACUCCUUGGCAAGGUGGUCUGGUGCCAAAAUAGGGAGAUGCAUGCCAGCUGUUGCCCCCAUUGGAAUUUAGGAACCCCACUGCUGCAAAACCAUUCAGAAGGUCCUCCAUGUUGCCAGGAGGACACAAUUAAUGGCCUGGCACACCUGCAUCACAGCAACCCCCCGGUGGAUUUCCCAACUCCAAAUCAAUUCCUGACUGAUUGGUAGCAAUCUGACAUGGCCAGCUUUCUCACAGUGAUUGCCAUUCGCUUCUCCAGCAUGAGUGAAGCUCUCAUUUUGAUGUUGCUGCACUGGAGGGAUGGUGCGAGCUUCGUGCACCAUUCCAUUAAUAUGGCCUUGUGCAUCUGAAAGUUCUGCAGCAACUGCUUGUCAUCCCAAACCUGCAUAAUGAUGUGAUUAUGACAGAAUUCAGAGGUCUGGCGCUCUCGCACGGCUGUGGAACAGCUCCUAGGAGGACCCCUUCAGUAUGUUACCCCCCCUACGGGUUACUCUCACAGGCCUGGUCUACACUACGCGUUUAUACCAAAUUUAGCAGCGUUAAACUGAUUUA